rnacentral:rRNA from 1 species
UACGGGGGGUGCGAGCGUUGUCCGGAAUCACUGGGCGUAAAGGGCGCGUAGGUGGUUUGAUAAGGGUGUGGUGAAAGCCCGGGGCUCAACCCCGGGUCUGCCGUGCCGACUGUCAAACUCGAGGGCUGUAGAGGCAGACGGAAUUCCGGGUGUAGCGGUGGAAUGCGUAGAGAUCCGGAGGAAGACCGGUGGCGAAGGCGGUCUGCUGGGCAGUUUCUGACACUGAUGCGCGACAGCGUGGGGAGCAAACAGGG